CUCAUUCUUAUAAUUCUAACGGUCAUAAGCCUCUUCACUUAACUCUGUCUGUUCUUUGUCCUGCAUAAUCCUAGUCAAUAAUUCCAGCUCUUUUGUUUGAAUCACUCAGAGAGCGUGUGUUGCUGAGUUUCCUCCUGCUGGUGGCAUUCUCUUGGGAAGGACUGCCUCUCCUGCCCUGGAUUUGGAUCUUGACCUUUACUGAGCGCAUUUAGCUUCCAUCAAAAUUGACUGCACACAUUCUUUGUUCAUGAAUCAGACGUCGUCGAUACAGCUUUCAUGGGAUUAGGAUGCUUUAUUCCAACCUUCAUCUUCAGGGAUUUCCAUGUAGAUGCUGCAUUGAUGAACUGGCUUGACUAAAGCACCACACCACUCCCCAAAACAAAAAUGAAGACCUAAAAUUGUUGGCAUUUUAAUUGGGAUCAUCACAUGUAUAAAUUAACUUAGGAAUAACUGUUAUCUUAAUGAUACUAAAUGUCUACUUAAAACCUAUUAAGACAUAUUUGCCUGGCCAAUUUAUUAUUGAUUCCCUCUUCCCUUGCAUCCAGAUUCCUUGAAAUCCUUCUCCAUUUACAUGUCAAAUCUGUUCUUUUAUCAUCUCAG
rnacentral:lncRNA from 1 species